rnacentral:rRNA from 1 species
AAAGCAGGAGCAAUCUUGUGAGUAAAGUGGCGUACGGGUGAGUAACACGUGGAUCAUCUACCCUCUUGUGGGGGAUAACCCUGGGAAACCGGAGCUAAUACCGCAUAAGUCCGAGAGGAGAAAGCAGCAAUGCGCAGGAGGAGGAGUCCGCGGCCGAUUAGCUAGUUGGUAGGGUAAAAGCCUACCAAGGCUACGAUCGGUAGCCGGCCUGAGAGGGCACACGGCCACACUGGCACUGAAACACGGGCCAGACUCCUACGGGAGGCAGCAGUGGGGAAUCUUGCACAAUGGGGGCAACCCUGAUGCAGCGACGCCGCGUGAGCGAUGAAGCCCUUCGGGGUGUAAAGCUCUUUCGGCAGGGAAGAUUAUGACGGUACCUGCAGAAGCAGCUGCGGCUAACUACGUGCCAGCAGCCGCGGUAAUACGUAGGCAGCGAGCGUUGUUCGGAGUUACUGGGCGUAAAGGGUGUGUAGGCGGUCUUCUAAGUCUGGUGUGAAAUCUCCCGGCUCAACUGGGAGGGUGCGCCGGAAACUGGAAGGCUAGAGUGCGGGAUGGGAGAGUGGAAUUCCUGGUGUAGCGGUGAAAUGCGUAGAUAUCAGGAGGAACACCUGUGGUGUAGACGGCUCUCUGGACCGCAACUGACGCUGAGACACGAAAGCGUGGGUAGCAAACAGGAUUAGAUACCCUGGUAGUCCACGCCCUAAACGAUGCAUAUUUGGUGUGGGCCAUUCAUUUGGUCCGUGCCGGAGCUAACGCGUUAAAUAUGCCGCCUGGGGAGUACGGUCGCAAGGCUGAAACUC